AGGAAUUGACGGAAGGGCACCACCAGGAGUGGAGCCUGCGGCUUAAUUUGACUCAACACGGGAAAACUUACCUGGCCCGGACACUGGAAGGAUUGACAGAUUAAGAGCUCUUUCUUGAUUCAGUGGGUGGUGGUGCAUGGCCGUUCUUAGUUGGUGGAGCGAUUUGUCUGGUUAAUUCCGAUAACGAACGAGACUCUAGCCUACUAAAUAGGGGACCGAUCAAUUGUUGUCGGUCCGUCUUCUUAGAGGGACAAGCGGCUUUUAGCCGCACGAGACAGAGCAAUAACAGGUCUGUGAUGCCCUUAGAUGUCCGGGGCCGCACGCGCGCUACACUGAAGGAAGCAGCGUGCUCAUCGCUGUCCGGCAGGACUGCGUAACCCCUAUAACCUCCUUCGUGAUAGGGAUAGGGGCUUGUAAUUGUUCCCCUUGAACGAGGAAUUCCCAGUAAGCGCGAGUCAUAAGCUCGUGUUGAUUACGUCCCUGCCCUUUGUACACACCGCCCGUCGCUACUACCGAUUGAAUGAUUUAGUGAGGUCUUCGGACUGGCGCUCGGAGCGACCUUCGGGUUGCGCCGGCGUGCCGGAAAGAUGACCAAACUUGAUCAUUUAGAGGAAGUAAAAGUCGUAACAAGGUUUCC
rnacentral:rRNA from 1 species